ACUUAUAUCAUGUUUCCCAGUACAGAUAUCUUCCUAAUUUUGUUUUUUCUUUCAGCAUUUUUAUAUUUUCCAAACUAAUCAUUUAAUCCACAUUUAAACUCUUUGUACAACAGGAAUAAAAUCAGUGAUUUGGAGACAGACAGAAAGGAGCUGGUUGGUGUCUUUGGUAGAACCGGUGCUGGAAAGAACUCUCUAAUAAAUGCGAUCAUUGGAGAGAAGGAUCUUUUGCCCACGGACAGUGGCAGUGCAUGUACCUCAGUCAUGAUUAAAGUGGAGACUAACAUGGACAGCCUGAAGUAUGAGGCAGAGAUUGAGUUCAUUACAAAAGAGGAGUGGAAAGAUGAGUUGUGGUCCCUGUACCAUAUUCUUGGGGAUAAUACAGAUCAAGAACAAGAUGAUGAUGAUGAUGAUGAUGAUGAUUGUGACACUGUUGAAAAGCUGUCAGCAUUUUAUGGAGAAGAUAUUGGGAGAGAAUGGAAAAAACAUCCUUUGAAAACCUGAUGGAUGACAAACAUUUCAGAGAAAUUCCAGAAUUUCUCAAAUCCAAGCUAAAGAUUUUGGAAUGUAAAUCAGCUGAAGAGCUAUCUGCAAAAAUUAUCAAAUAUACUAGAAGUGACCUAAAUCAAGGAGAAGGUAAAGAAGUGAAGAGGUGGUAUUGGCCACUAGUGAAGUGUGUGACUGUCAGGGUUCCUAGUAAUGAUCUUCUCCAACAUGUCACACUUGUGACAUCUGGAAAUAGGGACUGUAACAAGAGCAGAGACAGAAUGUGGAAAGAGCUUGUUGGAAGUUGCUCUACCGUGUGGAUUGUGACUGAAAUUAAUCGAGCAGCAUCAGAGAAAGCCUGG